GGCUGGUCCAAAGGUAGUGAGUUAUCUCACUUGACUGUUUAGAGUUACAGAUUGAACUCCUUGUUCUACUACUUUUUCCCUUCUCAAUACUGCACUUGACUAGUCUUAA
rnacentral:Y_RNA from 1 species